rnacentral:rRNA from 1 species
CCUACGGGCGGCAGCAGUGGGGAAUAUUGGGCAAUGGGCGCAAGCCUGACCCAGCAAUGCCGCGUGAAGGAAGAAGGCUUUCGGGUUGUAAACUUCUUUUACAGGGGAAGAGCAGAAGACGGUACCCUGAAAACAAGCCACGCCUAAAUACGUGCCAGCAGCCGCGUUAAUACGUAGGUGGCAAGCGUUGUCCGGAUGUACUGGGUGUAAAGGGUGUGUAGCCGUGAAGGCAAGUCAGAUGUGAAAUCUGGAGGUUCACCAUCCAAAUUGCAUUUGAAACUGUUUUUCUUGAGUGCUGGAGAGGCAGACGGAAUUCCUUGUGUAGCGGUGAAAUGCAUAGAUAUAAGGCGGAACACCAGUGGCGAAGGCAGUCUGCUGGACAGCAACUGACGGUGAGGCGCGAAAGCGUGGGGAGCAAACAGGAUUAGAUACCCGAGUAGUC